UGACGGUACCACUUGAAUAAGCUCCGGCUAACUACGUGCCAGCAGCCGCGGUAAUACGUAGGGAGCAAGCGUUAUCCGGAUUUACUGGGUGUAAAGGGCGUGUAGGCGGGACUACAAGUCAGAUGUGAAAGCACGGGGCUCAACUCCGUGUCUGCAUUUGAAACUGCAGUUCUUGAGUGUUGGAGAGGCUAACGGAAUUCCUAGUGUAGCGGUGAAAUGCGUAGAUAUUAGGAGGAACACCAGUGGCGAAGGCGGUUAGCUGGACAAUAACUGACGCUGAGGCGCGAAAGCGUGGGUAGCAAACAGGAUUAGAUACCCUG
rnacentral:rRNA from 1 species